rfam:Loxodonta africana unplaced genomic scaffold scaffold_1, whole genome shotgun sequence.
AGUGGCUUAAGCAUUUGGCUGCUAACCAAAAGGUUGGCAGUUCGAAUCCACCAGCCGCUC